CCUACGGGUGGCAGCAGUAAGGAAUAUUGGUCAAUGGAGGAAACUCUGAACCAGCCAUCCCGCGUGAAGGAUGAAGGGGCUCUGCCUUGUAAACUUCUUUUGUCUGGGGCGAAAAAGCUCGAUUUAUCGAGAACUGACGGUACCAGAAGAAUAAGCACCGGCUAACUCCGUGCCAGCAGCCGCGGUAAUACGGAGGGUGCAAGCGUUAUCCGGUAUCACGGGGGUUAAGGGGUGCUUGUAAGGCUUAGGAGAAAGGCUGUGGCUUAACCAUGGAAUUGCCAUUGAUACUGCAGAGCUUGAAGGAGGUUGAGGUUGGCGGAAUGUGACAUGUAGCGGUGAAAUGCUUAGAUAUGUCAUGGAACACCGAUUGCGAAGGCAGCUGACUGGACCGAUAUUGACGCUGAGGCACGAAAGCGUGGGGAGCGAACAGGAUUAGAGACCCCAGUAGUC
rnacentral:rRNA from 1 species